rnacentral:rRNA from 1 species
GACGAACGCUGGCGGCGUGCUUAACACAUGCAAGUCGAACGGACAGGCCUUUUCGUAGGUACUCGAGUGGCGAAGGGGUGAGUAACACGUGGGUGUUCUGCACUUCACUCUGGGACAAGCCUGGGAACCUGGGUCUAAUACCGAAUACGACCGCUCUUUAGUGUGUGUGGGGGAAAGUGUUUUCGGUGUAGGAUUAGCCCGCGGCCUAUCAGCUCGUUGGUGGGGUAAUGGCCGACCAAGGCGGCGCCGGGUAGCCGGACUGGGGGGUUGGUCGGCGACAUUGGCACUGAGAGGAGGCCCAGACUCAGACGGGAGGGAGCGGGGGGGAAUAUUGCACAAUGGGCGCAGGCUUGAUGCAGCGACGCCGCGUGGGGGAUAACGGUGUUCGUCUUGUAGACUUAAUUCGCCAGUGACGAUGCGUUUUGUGACGGUACCUGGAGAAGAAGCCCCGGCUAACUACGUG